CCUACGGGAGGCAGCAGUGGGGAAUUUUGGACAAUGGGGGCAACCCUGAUCCAGCCAUGCCGCGUGAGUGAAGAAGGCCUUCGGGUUGUAAAGCUCUUUCAGCCGGGAAGAAAAUGCAUGGGUUAAUACCCUGUGCAGAUGACGGUACCGGAAUAAGAAGCACCGGCUAACUACGUGCCAGCAGCCGCGGUAAUACGUAGGGUGCGAGCGUUAAUCGGAAUUACUGGGCGUAAAGCUGGCGCAGGCGGUUUUGUAAGACAGGCGUGAAAUCCCCGGGCUUAACCUGGGAACUGCGUUUGAAACUACAA
rnacentral:rRNA from 1 species